UUUUCCUCUGGGCAGGUUUUGAUAAAUCUCCCCCAUUCAGUUUGUUGCAUCAGACUUGUAUCUAAAUAUUUUGGCUAAGAGAGGCCGCUUUAUCUAAUGUGAGCCCAGCUGGCAUCUCUCUGAACAAAUUCACAGAUGGCUGGGCGCAGAGUAAUCCUAGAUGCCCCUUCCUCGGGCACUGCCAUAGGGGAAAAAUAUGGCUAUGCUGUAAUCUUAUCAGGUUUGUCUGCGCUUCCAUCACUGUUUUAAGAAGUGGAGCUGAUGAGGAGACGGGGCUUUGACUGAGUGCCCCCUAUUAUGAGGCACUGGGGAGUAAGUUGCAUGUUGCGCGGCAGGAAGUUGUGUGUGUCAAUAACCCUGGGUACGUCUUGUGCCUCAUUAUUGCUACUCUUCCCUGGGAUCUGUGAGUCAGACAGGCUGGGGCUGGAUUCUAUAGGACCACAGGGAUGUCAGACUUCAAAAAUUUCUGCGGAAAAUCCCCUGGGUAGAAAAUGAGGCGCAGAGUUUGUGCUGGACCCGCCGUGUUACCAUGGCAACCGCAGCAUCCGCACAAUUAUUAGGAUGGAAUUCCCUGGACCACUCUGAGGACACAGAGAAAUAAGGAUGCUGAGAAAAUGGACAAUAAAAUAGAGAGCUGCACAUGAUGGAACAACCUGCUAUUAUAUGUUCUUAUGAAUUAUUGAACAGUUUUAAGAGCUCGAUCUAAAGGGCAGAAGGAUAAACGGUCAGAUAACAAUAUCACACUUAGUGCAGAAAAUCACCUGACAGUGAG